rnacentral:rRNA from 1 species
UAUCUCUGUAGAGUCUGCAUAUCAAUAAGCGGAGGAAAAGAAACUAACUAGGAUUCCCUCAGUAACGGCGAGUGAAGCGGGAAGAGCUCAAAUUUGAAAUCUUCAAGGUUCUACCUUGACGAAUUGUAGUUUAAAGAAGUGUUUUCUGUUGGAGUUUUGGUAAAAGUUCUUUGGAAUAGGACAUCAUAGAGGGUGAGAAUCCCGUAUUUGACCAUUACUUUCCAGCGUUGUGAUACACUUUCAAAGAGUCGGAUUGUUUGGGAAUGCAGUCCAAAAUGGGUGGUAAAUUUCAUCUAAAGCUAAAUAUUGGCGAGAGACCGAUAGCGAACAAGUACCGUGAGGGAAAGAUGAAAAGAACUUUGAAAAGAGAGUUAAACAGUACGUGAAAUUGUCAAAAGGGAAGCGUUUGACACCAGUGUUGUUUUCUCGAAAAUCAAUUAAAAAAAGUUGGAUUUUGUAUUGUUAAGACCUUAUCAGCUUACUGUACUCUUUUCUUGCUUUUUUUAAUGCACUUUUCGUUUAACAAGUCAACAUCAAUUUCUUUUGUUGUAAAAGAGUCAUUGGAAGGUGGCUUUCUUUUCGGAGAAAGUGUUUAUAGCCUUUGGCCUCUGCAAUCGGAGAGAUUGAGGUCUGCAGCGUAGAUCCCUCGGGGUUAGAUACAUUUGUGCUAAGUUAUAGCCUUUCAUAGACAACUUGUUGACUAUGAUCAGUCAUGUAGCUUACUCGCUUAUGCUAUUUUACCUACGCUUAGGAUGUUGACGAUCAGCUGAGCGCG